rnacentral:rRNA from 1 species
UAGGGAAUCUUCGGCAAUGGACGAAAGUCUGACCGAGCAACGCCGCGUGAGUGAAGAAGGUUUUCGGAUCGUAAAACUCUGUUGUUAGAGAAGAACAAGGACGUUAGUAACUGAACGUCCCCUGACGGUAUCUAACCAGAAAGCCACGGCUAACUACGUGCCAGCAGCCGCGGUAAUACGUAGGUGGCAAGCGUUGUCCGGAUUUAUUGGGCGUAAAGCGAGCGCAGGCGGUUUCUUAAGUCUGAUGUGAAAGCCCCCGGCUCAACCGGGGAGGGUCAGUGGAAACUGGGAGACUUGAGUGCAGAAGAGGAGAGUGGAAUUCCAUGUGUAGCGGUGAAAUGCGUAGAUAUAUGGAGGCACACCAGUGGCGAAGGCGGCUCUCUGGUCUGUAACUGACGCUGAGGCUCGAAGGCGUGGGGAGCAAACAGU